CUCGAACUGAUUCUUGACACUUCACUCACCAUGUAAACCCCUGUGUUCUCCAGGCACACAGUUGUUCAGCAUUACUAAAAGCCAAUGCUGUCUUCCAUGCUCAGUGUAAGGAGAAGACCAGUAAACUCCAGUAGUUUGCCACUGAAUUUAUAUAUGUUAGGUGCUUGAUUCACUGCAGCAUUUCUGGAAAGGUCCUCAUCACUUUCCUACUCUUCUUCAGCGGUCACAGAUGGCCAAAGGAAGCAAUUAUGUUGUAUACUAAACAAGCAAGCUUCUCUUUGCAAAACAAGUCACUAAAAUCCUUUAUUUGUGAACAAGCGUUUAUUAAUGACCUUUUUGAAUUUUACUACUGAGCCUCGCAAUAAUGGACGGGCAUUGUUAGAAAUGUAAAUGUAAAGAGAUAAGGAAAUUUUCAGGCAAAUCUAUGUUUAAUUUCAAAGAAAGCUGCUCUCUUCUAAUGACCCUGUUUGCAUGGAUAUCUGAUAGUAAAGCUAGGGAAGGGUCACAGUAGAUAAAACCUAACAGAUCAUUGAAUGGAAAACAAAUAUUUAUUUUCUCUUUGUCUCUUUGGGACUCAUUUGCAUUAAAACUGAAGCAUUUCCAGAGACGGUUGGUGAAAAUAAAAGCUCAUUUAUGCAUUUAAUAUUAGGAAAG
rnacentral:lncRNA from 1 species